ACACCUGAACUGAGGCCAGUGCUGGGAGGGUCUCAGGUGGAGAUUUCCCGAGAACUUUGGGACCCUGCCUUCCUGUCAUGCCUAAGCCUGUACAAAGUGGUCCCUACAAGGUGGGGACCCUUCGCUAGGGCAGCCGGCUAGGGCCUUCCCGUACUCCUGGAGAGCAACACUGAUGCCAUCCAGCCUCCAGCCUCAGUCGAGCGGCUAGGGCUCCCCUUUCUCUGUAUAAGUCGUAUUCUUGCAAAAGCAUACGUAGAAAAGCAUAGUGCUUUCCAUUUUUAUAAAUUAAUCAAAUCUAGUACCAGAUUUUGCCACAGGCUGAUUUUGGGACGGGGACUCGUGUCGUUGCUGCGGAUAGCUGGUCAGGAGAUUUGUAAAUUGUACCGGAAAACGCCAGAAUGGAGGUAUCAAUGCCCCUGCCUCAGAUAUAUGUAGAAAAAACCCUAGCCCUUAUCAAGCCAGAUAUUGUUGAUAAAGAAGAAGAGAUACGCGAUAUUAUCUUGAGAUCCGGAUUCACUAUUAUACAGUGAUUAUCGAACCCAUUCCAAUUGGACAAGCUGCUAAGGACUAUUUGAAUUUGUACGUAGCACCAACCCUACUUCAAGGACUCACAGAGCUUUGCAAGCAAAAGCCAGCAGAUCCUUACAUCUGGCUUGCCGAUUGGCUGGUGAAAAAUAAUCCCAACAAACCUAAACUUUCUCAUUUCCCUCUAACAGAAGAGCCGUAGUCCACUCUGAGAGCGAGUGUAGGCAACUUCCGUGUAAGCAGCUGUGCACCCAAGGUCUUCACAUUAAAAACCAUGUGUGUCUCUGUGUGGGUUUGUGCUUGCCUGU
rnacentral:lncRNA from 1 species